rnacentral:snRNA from 1 species
CUGGACGAUACAGGGAAGAUUAGCAUGACCCCUGCUCAAGGAUGACAUGCAAAUACAUGAAACAUUCCAUGUUUUU